GGGGGCGUAAUGGUUUCGACAGUGAAUGGAAGGUUAAAGUAGCAAGCCGAGGAUGCCGUUGGCCUCGUAAAAAAGCGGUAAAAACAAUAAAUGCCGAUAAUUAUUACGAUGUAGCUCUUGCUGCUUAAUGCAGCAACAUCCGCCUGAUUUUUGCGGUUGGAACCAGGAUCGGGUGUCACCAUAGACCGAUUACUUUUUUCAUAAAUGCCUUGUGUGAAAAGAGGAAAUUUAAAGGCUAAGGAUGUAGAUUUCUUGACCGAAAGGGAUCUGUUAUCUCGAAAAUCUAAAUUCGGUCUAAGCUUGUAGAGACUUUAUCUUGAAAUUCUUUGGACGCGGGUUCGACUCCCGCCGCCUCCA
rnacentral:tmRNA from 1 species